AACGGAGGCAGAGACUGUAAUGAUGCAGCUACAAGUCGAGGAGUGCCAAGGAUUGCCAGACACCAGCAGAAGCUAAGAAAAGAGGCACCAUCCACUUGGCUCUGGACGACGCCCUGCCUGGCUGAGCUGCCCUGGGAGCUGUCAACACGGGUGUGCGUGCUGGUAUUCCAGAGGCUGCAUGCUCACCUGUGGGUGCUGUGGGAGCAAGGACAGUCGCACUGGGAGAAAGGUGUUUCCCUUCAACCUCACGAUUCCCCGAGCCUAUGACUGGAUUCCUGGCCUGUGGUUUUCAAACUUCAGAGUAUAGGCCUUUACUUUUGUUUAAUAACAUGUAGGUUGUACUAACCAGGUGCCAGGCUGUGGUCUAAGUGCUCACAAACAUUAGCUCAUGUAAUUCUCAUCAGA
rnacentral:lncRNA from 1 species